UAUUUAUUAGAUAACAGGCCAAUAUUCCUCGUGUCUAUUGUGGUGACUCAUAGUAACUGAUCGGAUCGCAUGGCCUUGUGCCGCGACUAACCAUUCAAGUUUCUGACCCAUCAGCUUUCGAUGGUAGUGUAUUGGACUACCAUGGCUUUCACGGGUAACGGAGGAUUAGGGUUCGAUUCCGGAGAGGGAGCCUGAGAAACGGCUACCACAUCUAAGGAAGGCAGCAGGCGCGUAAAUUACCCAAUCCUGACUCAGGGAGGUAGUGACAAGAAAUAACGGGUCGGGGCAUUCGCCUCGGGAUUGCAAUGAAUCGAAUUUACACCCCUUAAUGAGGAUCAAUUGGAGGGCAAGUCUGGUGCCAGCAGCCGCGGUAAUUCCAGCUCCAAUAGCGUAUAUUAAAGUUGUUGCAGUUAAAAAGCUCGUAGUUUGAUUUCUGGACGGGCGCCAACACCCGCUUGUUUAGUGUGGAGGCGGCGCCCGCCCAUCCUUCUGUUAACGCCACCGGCAUUCGUUUGCUGGCGGCGGGCUCAGAUAUUUUACCUUGAGAAAAUUAGAGUGUUUCACGCAGGCUUGCGC
rnacentral:rRNA from 1 species